AUGUUACUCAGUCCAAAAACAUUAAAAGGAUCGGUUAACGAAACAUGUCAUACAGAAUGCAAAAAGAUAUGGAGCGCGAUAAGCUAAUUAAUUAACACACAAGUACGGUAACUUUAGGCUCAAAUGAUCAAUUAUAGUUAAACAAACUGACAAGCUGUCAUGGGUGAUCAACGAACCAUAGAUAGUAUCAUAAACUGAACAUCUUUAACGCUCGUUAAAUACCAACAAAUAGCAUAAGUUUCAUACUUGCAUUAUUUACCUAUGCUGUUUCCACAUCGCUUACGUUACUCAGCAACGCGAUUCUCCUCUUUCUCAACACCGCCUCAUUUUCAAAAAUCGCUUCCCACUUCUCAUUCAUUUCUUUCGCUUUCGCUUCCCCAAUCAAACUCAAAUUCUCCUUAACCAACUUCACAACACCAUCAGGAAACUUCAAAGCAGUCGAAACCUCCGACGUCAAUCCAGCAUUCCAAAACGGAUACAACGUCUCGAAAUCCUCCACUUUAACCACCUGUGCAUCAUCUACCUCCUUCUCAAUCACCGCAACUUUCGGUUCAACUUUCGGUUUAACUUUUGUAACCCUAACUUUCCCUUUCGCAGUCGACCCACCACCAUUACCACCCACAUUCUCACACCCAUCAACACCCCAUAUCUUAUUCGAAAGCUCAAACAACGUCCGCUCAUGCGGCUUAAUAAACACCGCUUCCUCACCGUUCCCACUAACCUUCUCCGAAUUAACCCGAAACUUCUUCUUCAACCUCCUAACUUUCUCAUACAGCUGACUCUUCGUCGCAUACCCCGGUAACGAACUCAUCGUAAACUGAUAAAAACCAUCCAUAUCCGACAACGGAGAGCACCCGAUUUUCGACUGAUAAUCAAUAAACCCCUGCAACAACAUAAGUUCAUCCUCAACAGUCCACACCCUCUUAACCACUGCUUUCUUUUCCUCAUCAACAUCCCCAUUCAAAACCUUAAUUUUCUUCUUAUUGUUAUUAUUGUUGGUUAAACGACGGCGUUUUGACGUUGGAGUCGUCUCAAAAACAUCAAAAGAUUCAAUCUUUUUCGAGGGUUUGAUCGCAAAAUCGGAAGCGGUGGGCGAUCUCACAUCGUAAUCGAAUUCAAAGAUCGAAGCUUUCGGAAUACCCAUCGGAAUCUUUGAGUCGGAAUCUGAUUCCGAUUCCGAUUCAGAUGAUAAUUGAGGUGGGUUUGAAGGAGGGUUUUGAAAUUGGGGGUUUUUGAUUUGUGGGUUUUGAAAUUGGGGAUUUUUUGUGGGUGUUGGGGUUUCUUCUUCCUCUUCGUCUUCUUCUUCUUCUUCAUCAUCUUCAGAUGAUGAUGAUGAUGAUUGGUGAACUGUAUUUUGUGUGAUGAUUUCUUGUUCGUCUUCUGUUUCAUCAUCAUCGUCGGAUGAAGCGGAUGGGGGGUCGUCUAGAGGAGUGUAGCGUUUGGUAGCCAUGAAUGGGUUGAUGAUAUGAUUGAUUGGUGAAAGAUGGAUGAAGGAUUACAAGCAGGGUGUGAGAAUUUGAAGGAUGAAGAUGUGGAAUUAGGGUUUUGUUGUGUGAUUAUGGGCUUGAGGGGAAGCUCAUAGUUUCCACUUUCAAGCUUUGGUAAACCACUCUUAAU
rnacentral:lncRNA from 1 species